rfam:Butyrivibrio crossotus CAG:259 genomic scaffold, scf88
AGACCGCUUCAUUUAUGAAGAGAGCCUUACGGACAGGCGGGUCGGCUGCCGG